GACAAUGAUUCAAUGUAACAGCUGCAACUUUAUUCUUAUUUUUUAGCUGAAUAAGUUAUCGCUACAGAGUGUCUCACUUAAUGGUGAAUCAGAAGAAACUCUUCCUACCCUCACACCUGACGAACUGGAUAAGGUUGAUAAAGAAACUGUGCAGUAUGAAAUCACUGUUGAGGAAGAGAAGUUAAAACAGAUGAAGCCAAAUAUGGCAGCCAUUGCAGAGUAUCGUGAAAAGGAAGAGGCAUACCUAUCAAGGGUGAAGGAACUUGACGAGGUAACGUCAAAUCGAGACCAGAAGAGAAAAGAGCAUGAA